rnacentral:lncRNA from 1 species
UCUACAAUUUACAUUUAGUAUCUUUAGGGAUUUAGGAAUGGGCUUGUGCUGUCACUUAUUUUUAUUGCUCAGCUUGUAACGGGCACCUUUGACUUCAUCCCAGCCGUACAUUACAUUGUCAACGGACAAUUUAUUGUGCACUAGUUUCACCUUGGCUCCAUUAGCCUUUUCUUGCGCGGCACUCUUCCACAGAUGCUUUCGUAUUUCUCGCGUUCUGGUGGAAAAGUCUUCAGAGAUUGAUAUUUCGGAACCCUUUAGCUUGUGCGCGGAUUUCAGUGCUGACGCCUUUUCUCGGUAGUCUAAAAAUUUCAGUAUCACAGGGCGUUUCCUGUCUUUAAAUUUGCGACCAAUUCUAUGACACCUCUCAACGCCAGAGACAGUUAUUCCUAAUUUGGCCUGAAAGACCUCAGUCACUACCUUACGUUCAAGUUCAGCUGCUGUCUCUUGGUCAUCAUCAGUUAGCCCGUACAUAACUAAAUUGUUUCUGCGACUCCUAUUUUCUAAGUCAUCGACUUUAGAAAUGAGUGCAGAUAACUGUUUAUCAACCUUCGCAACAGUGUCCUCCAUUGUUUUCAUGCGGUUGUUCAAAGCGUUCAAACCAGCCAGCUGUUUUUCAAAGCCUUCUAUGCGUUUGGUCAGUGCUGAAAUCUUCUUCUCAAUAUCGUUUUGAGAACUCUGCAAGGCUUCCACAAUUGUGGUCAACUUUCCCUGGCCAAUAAGUAAUUCGGAAAGCAUUUCUUUUUCGGUAGGACCCGGAUUUGCCUCUAUAUCGCCACACACCAGCAAGUCACUUGGCAUAGAAAUGACAUAACUGAAAACAUUUAAAAAAGCUAGUGGGCAGGGCAGCAGCACUAAGAAGCGAUUAUCGCUUCGAUAGCAUUUAGUAGGUAAGUACUGACUAACCUGCAGUACGAAACAGAAGGGAUUCCUUAGCAUGUUGCCGCUGAGGCUGCCGCCAUGCCCACUGGUGAUGCUCGGUGUGGUCUGGCCUUUUAUAGCGGGGAAGCGGGUCAUGUGGUCCUACGUAAACGCAGUUCGCAUAGACGCGGUGAUGACAGCUGGCGGCGACGAAUCUUCCACGAGGCAGAUGUCGCCGGCACGUGUCGAUGACAUCAGAUACACCCCCAGGAUUUCAUUGCUGCAGGGUGCAGCGGCAAAA